rnacentral:tRNA from 1 species
CCGUAGCUCAGUUGCUUAGAGCGCCGGGUUGUGAUUCCGGAGACACGGGUUCGAGUCCCGUCGG